rnacentral:lncRNA from 1 species
AAUGGAAGGUACAUAAUAAAUGGAAAGGAUGCCCUUGCUCUUGUGAGACUAAUAUAUAUUUCUGAAGAGUCUAACGAAAAUCUAACAGUUCCAGACUACACAUGCUUUUAACAACUGAACCAAAGCCAGAUUUCUUCUUUUUAAUAUCUUCAUGCCAGUAGCUAAAAGAACAUCUUGAGACUGAAGGAAAGUUAAAAGGGACCAUGAUCAGCCUUUGCUCAUUAAUUCAAUCAACAAUGGAUAUGGAACUCACCUAUAAAGUGCAGUGGCUUUGAACUCAGAAGUGCUGUCUGAAUGUCAGUUCUGCUGUGCUUUUAACAUGUGGCUAUGAACUUCCCCAUUUCCUCCAAGCCUGCUUCAUUAUCUUCAAGAUAGGACUAACUUUGUCUUAAAAUCAAGAGAUGGAGACUGUGUUGUAGGGAUUAAAAAGAUCAAAGAAUAUGUAUAGUAUCUCUAAAUGGGAGAGAGCUAAGAAUAAUAAUUUUUAAAGUGUGCCCAUUAUGUGAGAAUCCCAUCACCCUAAGUUAACUAAUUGCUAAUUUGGAAUAGGUUGGUUCAAUUUUCUACCAUCUUGAAAAAUUUAAUUUUCACCAGAGAGCACCUUCUGGAUAAAUUCCCCACUACUUCUACUUUGUUCACAGGAUACACAACAUGAAGAGUGUCUGCUUGCUUAGGAGCAGAGUGUCCUGUUUGCCCAGUAGACUAGGCUGUGCUUCACACCCAAGGAGCACUCCUGGCAGUGACCCUCUCAGGGAGUGAGUGUGUAAGCUGUGCCAUCCUCAACCCCCAAGUCGUGUGUACUCUCAUGAUCUGCGAAGUGAACGUUAUCUCCUUUUUUAUUGACGAGGCACACAGAGGGCAGCAUGGGACAGAGACAGGCUGGAAUCCAUCUCGGCGACUGCCCAGACCAGGGUGGCAGUGCGCAGGAGUCGAGUCUAGGAACAGCCCGGUGAUUUUAAUUUGGUGCUUGUGCCAAGGCCAGGUUCCAGUCAAAACUGGAGAGCGAGCAGGUGAGACAAGUGAGACUGGACCGGUAGAGAUGGUUCGCUUAGCGCAAUGUGUCCACUUCCAGGUGUUCUCUCCAGAUGUGGCCAGACAGACCACAUGCACAUGGCUGCCUGGACGCUCUGGAGGGGCUUUUCACACACAGUGUGCUCACCAGCGAAUGUGUGUACAGAGAAAAGGAUGCCAAGAAGGGUCAGCUGCAACUGCUGUCCAGGUUGUUAGGCAAAACUUCUUGAUUGGCUGGAAAAAAUACACAAAUCUCAAUUUUCAAGAUUAUCUAUUAAAAUUAAAUCCUGCAGAAAAGACACUGAAUCUUUGUAAAAUGUUUUUUUGGGCAGAGCCAUGCUAGGGAUUGAACCCAGGACCUCCACACUGAGCUAUGUCUUCCACCCCACUCCCACUUUUGAGACAGUCAUAUGAAAUCACUAAGAUGCUCUACUAGGCUGGAACUUGCAGUCUUCCUUCCUCAGCUUCCCAGAGGCUGAGAUUAGAGGUGUGCACCAUCAUGCCCAACUAAAAUGCCUUUUUCCUUUAUCUGCACAUGUGUGUUCACAAGGCAUCUCCUCAUUCUCACACUCAGACACAUUGCUAGAGUAAGGUUGUGUCCAACAUAUCCAGAAACAAACUGGAAAAUGAAGCAGCUCCCAGAGGACAUGUCUCUGCAGGAUUUCAAAUACAACACUCCGUCUCUGCUGCUCAUCGCCAUGUCUCGGGUUUUCUUCCCAGAUUGUACCAAAACAGUGCCAGGACUUGCAUGGAAAUGAGAUAAGAACACUCCAGGCAGAGCACCCAGCAGGGGACACAGGACAUACAGCGAGUGGACAGUGACCAUGACAGGAAAAAUUCAGAAUGAAAAGGGAAAUAGCAGCGAAAGUUUUUGAAAGAAUGGGUAGAGUCAGAUCAUUCGGGCCUGGGGUUUAGGACAGUUAACCUGUGCUUUAAACAUCAAGAAUCAUGGCAGGUUUUUGUAGCAAAAGUAACACGACCAGAACUUUGCUCCAGGAAGAUAAACACAGCAGGUGUGUGAAGUAUUCAAAGUAGGGAGAAA